UUCCGGUUGAUCCUGCCGGAGGUCACUGCUAUUGGGGUCCGGCUAAGCCAUGCGAGCGGAGGGCGCGGUCGAAAGAUCGUGGCCCCGCACACGGCUCAGUAACACGUAGUCAACCUACCCUUGGGACGGGAACAACCUCGGGAAACUGGGGCUAAUACCCGAUAGGCGAGGGCGCCUGGAAUGGUUCUUCACCCAAAGGGCUUUGGAAGCAUGCUUUUCAAAGUCGCCUGGGGAUGGGGCCGCGUCCGAUCAGGUUGUUGGUGAGGUAACGGCUCACCAAGCCUAUAACCGGUACGGGCCGUGAGAGCGGUAGCCCGGAGAUGGGCACUGAGACAAGGGCCCAGGCCCUACGGGGCGCAGCAGUCGCGAAAACUCCGCAAUGCACGAAAGUGUGACGGGGCUACCCCGAGUGCCGUCCGCUGAGGAUGGCUUUUCCUCGGUGUAACUAGCCGGGGGAAUAAGGAGAGGGCAAGACUGGUGUCAGCCGCCGCGGUAAUACCAGCUCUCCGAGUGGUAGGGAUGAUUAUUGGGCUUAAAGCGUCCGUAGCCGGCUUAGCAAGUCUCCUGUUAAAUUCGGCGACCUAAUCGUUGAGCCGCGGGAGAUACUACUAGGCUAGGAGGCGGGAGAGGUCGACGGUACUUCCGGGGUAGGGGUGAAAUCCUAUAAUCCCGGGCGGACCACCAGUGGCGAAGGCUGUCGACUAGAACGCGCUCGACGGUGAGGGACGAAAGCUGGGGGAGCGAACCGGAUUAGAUACCCGGGUAGUCCCAGCCGUAAACGAUGCAUGCUAGGUGUUGGCGCGGCUAUGUGCCGCUCCAGUGCCGCAGGAAAGCCGUUAAGCCUGCCGCCUGGGAAGUACGGCCGCAAGGCUGAACUUAAAGGAAUUGGCGGGGGAGCACCACAGGGGUGAAGCCUGCGGUUUAUUGGAAUCAACGCCGGUAAUC
rnacentral:rRNA from 1 species